rnacentral:misc_RNA from 1 species
UGGUUCUGGCAUCGAUGAAGAACGCAGCGAAAUGCGAUAAGUAAUGUGAAUUGCAGAAUUCAGUGAAUCAUCGAAUCUUUGAACGCACAUUGCGCCCACUAGUAUUCUGGUGGGCAUGCCUGUUCGAGCGUCAUUUCAACCCUUAAGCCCCUGUUGCUUAGUGUUGGGAGUCUACGGUAUAGCAGCUCCUGAAAGUGAGUGGCGGAGUCGGUUCACGCUUCAGACGUAGUAGAUUUUAUCUCGCCUGUAGUCGGAUCGGCCUCCUGCCGUAAAACCCCCCUAUUUCUAAAGGUUGACCUCGGAUCAGGUAGGAAUACCCGCUGA